rnacentral:SRP_RNA from 1 species
GCUGGGCAUAGUGGCUUAUGCUUGUAAUCCCAGCACUCUGGGAGGCUGAGGUGGGUGGAUCACCUGAGGUCAGGAGUUCAAGACCAGCCUGGCCAACAUGGUGAAACCCCAUCUCUA